rnacentral:snRNA from 1 species
CUACUUUUCUCAGUCUUUUGGCCAAGAUAAGGUGUCAUGUUUGUUCUUAUCAGUUUAAUAUAUGAUAUGUGGACCAUAUAUUUAAUCUGAUAUUAAAUUUAUUUUUAGAGUAUAAAAUAUGACUAUGUAUUGUCACAACGCAAGAGCAUUGUACUAGUAACUCAUAGUGGAAUCUCU